GACGUAGGGCGCGAGCGUUGUCCGGAUUUAUUGGGCGUAAAGAGCUCGUAGGCGGCUUGUCGCGUCGAAUGUGAAAACCCACGGCUCAACUGUGGGCUUGCAUUCGAUACGGGCAGACUAGAGUGUGGUAGGGGAGACUGGAAUUCCUGGUGUAGCGGUGAAAUGCGCAGAUAUCAGGAGGAACACCGAUGGCGAAGGCAGGUCUCUGGGCCACUACUGACGCUGAGAAGCGAAAGCAUGGGGAGCAAACAGG
rnacentral:rRNA from 1 species